CCCCUUUUUAAUUCCCCCCACGAAGGCACAAAGUUCUAAGCUGUGCCCAUCUGGGCAGAGGGAUCCUCCUCCUCCUGUCAUCACUGCCUGGGCAGACCUUGCUUACAGAUUGGAAAUCCUCAAGACAUUAAUUCUACCAGAAGACGCUGAUUCUUUUCAUUCCUUCUCCAUUACUGGUUCCUUGGACACUGCUAAAAAGAGCAGGAAUGUGGCUACACACCCUUGGUCCUCCUGCUCUACCAUUUCCCCAGAGGCAAAGCAGCAGUCUGUUUACAAGUGAUAGAAAUGCUACCACCUUCAAUACGAGCCAGCACAACUGACUGAACUAGUGAAAUGGUUUUGGAUGUUGGCUGUCUUGUAGCAGCCAUAUUAUGCCACACCUAAAUCAUCUAUAACGUGAACUGUCUUGAUGAAGAACAAAUUGUUUGUUUUUGUUUUAACUCUAAUCUGUUAAUGUAUUUGCACAAUUUCAACAUGUAAGUGGGUGGGAGGGAGGGGGUGUAAUGAAGGGAAAGCUGCACCAGAACUUUACCAUUGCUGACUGACUUGUCUAUUGAAUAUAGUUACCAAAAAUAACAGGAGUCAUAGGAAUGCAACCCCCAAAAUAUCUGGCAUCUGCAGCCAUCUGAUCAAUAAAAUGGAGUUGGAAGUAUGAUUUCCUAUUUGUUUCUCAA